UCAUUAAUGAGUACUUUCAAGUUAGCGUGUAUACCGCAUCCGUGUAUACGAAUACACUUACUACCCCUGUUGGGUGGUUUUGCUCCUCCGUUUUUGACAACAUUAGAAGGAGAAAAGGAGACAAACUAGUCAAAAGUAGGUAAAAGUGAACUGGCCGUUGGGUACUUUUUUCUUACCGUGUACGAAUACAGCACCCCACACGAAUAAAGCCCUACAGUAAAAGUAUGGACGACUGACACCACAAAACUGAAAAAAAGCUGUUCCAAUCGAGCAAAGCGGUGCAUUUUGACGGUUCGAUUGGAACAACUUUUGACAGACGUCCAUACUUUUACUGUAGGGCUUUACACACGAAUUGCCGGCGACAAAGUGACGUCAUUUGACAUUGGGCGACUUAAAGACUGACGUUUUUAAAUUGGUGUGUUUUUUUUUUGUCGUGCGCUCAGCCAUCUUGUCUGGUUUGUUUAUAAACAAACUAGACAAGAUGGCUGAGUGCACGGAGCGCACCGCAAAUUCCUUCACCCGAGCCGCGAAGGAAAGUAGCAACUUUAACACCGGCUGCUUCCAAUAAUUCCGGAUUGGGACGUGUACGGAAAUUGAAUAGAGCCGCCUGCUUCCAAUAAUUCCGGAGGUGUUCGGGAAUAGAGUGGCAACCACUUACGCUAGGGAGGCAAUUGAACACCUAGACCUGGACUCAUCAACUCAAGGGCCAGGAUCCACGGCUGUGCUUCUUUUCGAAGGAAGGCAUGACACCACCAAAGCAACCAAGGAAGUCAUCAAUCCCCACCAACUGACGAGUUUCGUUUGUGGUUCGACACAUGGACGGAGCAUUUGUGUUUUGCUAAAUUUUGCAAAUUAUUGGGGAAUUUCCCUAAAGUUUCACGCGGCCACCAGUUUUCACUCUUCCACAGGCCUUAAGGGUAACCCACAUUAGAUCUGCUUGCGUUGCGUUGUCGUAAAUUUUAUAGUUAGACAAUAUAUUUAGCUGUCACUUUGCUGCAUCGCGCCAGAUCCGGAUCUAAUGUGGGUGGCCCUGUAGAUUUGGAAACUUGAUUAUGUAAACACUAGGCAUCUUUGUCUGGUAGUUCGUUCAAAAAUGAUACAACAAUCGUCAAGCUCGCUGUAACGUCACCUAGUGCCUCGUCACCUACAAAUUGGCGCCUAUGUCAGUGGUCUAAUAACUCUUAGCGCGCUAAUGGCAUAGUUCCCCUGCCGCAUAGAGAGUUACCACAAUGACAUUAGGUUAGCUAAGGUCAGUUAACUGACUGGUGGGAAACGGGAGCUUACGCAAUGGCUAUUCUGUAUGCAUUUAAGAGAUAGUCUACCAGAAUGGAUGAUUUUUUUUGUACAAUUUUAUGUUUUCUGAUUGUGCAAAACAUGAGAAUUAACUUUUCCAAUGCUUUCAAUUGUACAAAGCAUUAGUGCUAGAAACAUGAUCUUGUAAACACUACACACCUUAACUGUUAGUUUGAUUAAAAAAUGCUGCAACAAUCGUCAAGCUCGCUGUAAUGUCACCAAGUGCCUCGUCACCUACAAAUUGGCGCCUAUGUCAGUGGUCUAAUAACUCUUAGCGCGCUAAUGGCAUAGUUCCCCUGCCGCAUAGAGAGUUGCCGCAAUGACAUUAGGUUAGCUAAGGUCAGUUAACUGACUGGUGGGAAACGGGAGCUUCAGCAUUGACAGUUAUGUACGCAUUUUUAUGAUGUUAUCUAACAACAAUGGUGUGUAGUGUUUACACGAUUAUGUUACUAAUUCUAAUGUGUUGUAAAUAUAAUUGAAAGCAUUUGAAAAGUAAGAUUCUAGUGGUUAUACUACUUAAAACAUAAGUAAACAUCUACAUUUUAAAACAUUCAAACAACGUUUACUUUAAACGUUUUGUACAUCUGAAAACAUCAGAGAACAACAAACAGGAAGUACAAUUGAAAACAUCCGAACAACGUUUAGUUCUAACGUUGUGUACAUCCGAAAACAUCCAAAAAAACGUUUGGUUCUAGCAUCGGGA